UGGGGAAUCUUGCACAAUGGGGGCAACCCUGAUGCAGCGACGCCGCGUGAGCGAUGAAGCCCUUCGGGGCGUAAAGCUCUUUCGACCGGAACGAUAAUGACGGUACCGGGAGAAGAAGCUGCGGCUAACUACGUGCCAGCAGCCGCGGUAAUACGUAGGCAGCAAGCGUUGUUCGGAGUUACUGGGCGUAAAGAGUGCGUAGGCGGUUUUCUAAGUUCGGUGUGAAAUCUCCCGGCUUAACUGGGAGGGUGCGCCGAAGACUGGGAAGCUGGAGUGUGGGAAAGGCAGGCGGAAUUCCUGGUGUAGCGGUGAAAUGCGUAGAUAUCAGGAGGAACACCGGCGGUGUAGACGGCUUGCUAAACCAUAGCUGACGCUGAGGCACGAAAGCGUGGGUAGCAAACA
rnacentral:rRNA from 1 species